GAGAGGCCCCUGAGGUUGGAGACUUGCCCAGCUUCAGGCUCCUCCUUGGGACUGGGCUUGGCCUGACCGCCCCGACCCAAUGCCCACAAUUGUGGAGCCGCCUCCUGCAUUCUCCGCAACACACCUCCCACUCCUCACAGCAGCUGAUGGAGAGACACUCGACCCAGGCCAGGCCAGAGGAGGCGUUGAAGCUGGAGCAGCCUCCGAUGUGCAAGGACCGAGAGCCGACCACAGCCUCUCAGAGCACAGGGAUGGCCACACCCAGAGGUGGAGGGCCCUGACGGAGCCCUCUCCCAGCUUCCCCUGGCCAAGUUCUUCCCUCCGGACAACCCCACCCACCAGAUGCUGGAGCGGAGCCUGCGGGAGGAGGAGCUGCGAGCACAGCACCAGGCCGCGCUGCUGCGCCUGCGAGAGAUGGCGCUCCAGGAGAAAACGCUCGCGGAGCUGGCCUGGCUGGAGCAUCGACGAGGGUGCCUGGACAGCAAGAGGGACAGAGCUGUGCUGGCCGCGCUGGUUGAGAAGCAGCAGCAAGCCCUCAGCAGAUUGGAGAAGGAGCAGAGGGAAAUCCAAUACCUGAGACACACGCAGCUGUUCAGGCACCGGGACAGGAAGCUGCUUCUGCAGCAUCAGAGGGACGUCGUCUCCAUGCCGGGGCCUGUGGACAUCCUCCCCAUCCCGGGGCCCACGGACGUCGUCCCAGCGCACGAGCUGCAGGCCCAGGCCAAGCUGCAGCAGGGUUCCAGCCCCAAAGUCAAGGCCGCCUGGGAGGGAGGCUCAGAGACAAGCCAGCAGCCAGAGGCCUCCCUGUGUCCCCUGACCCCAUGCAGGCCCAGCAGCUCCACCAGCCAUCGCCCCCAGAGCAGCCCCGCAAGCUCAAAGGCCACGCGCCCUCCCACUGAGCAGCAGGAUGUGACGCCACCCCAGACAACCUCCGAUGCAGAUGGUCACCAGCAGCCUCCGAGGCCAGCAUGGGGCGAGGACACACACGACCCCCAGGGCCCGCUGGUGGAGAGUGGCAGCCAUGUCAGUCAAGAGCCUGGGGAGCAGCCUCGGGCCCCUCUGCUGGGCCUGCAGCACGUGAGCCCCCCGGACGGACAGCGGCUGGGCCCAGCCUUUCCCGCCGAGGAGGCGGAGGGGCGCCUCCCCACAGCUCAGUGCAGGUCUCGGGAGGUGAAGGAGCCACCCCCAGGAGACCCUCAGACCAAGCCCGGCCCUUCCUUAGCAGGGAAGCCCCGGGCUCCAACAGACAGCCAUGUGGGGAGCUUCAGGGAACGCAGCCGACGCUCCUGCGGCAGAGAAGGUCCUUGUGGCCCACAAGAAGCCAGCCAGGUGGCUGAGGACAGCAUGAGCGAAGAGGGCUUGGAAUCGGGGCUGGAUUUUGCUGAGAGCCCCGUGGAGGAGUCCCAGGAAACCGAGAGCUGGCGAUCGGGGGAGCAGAGGUGUGGGGCUGAGCUCCCUGGAGCAGGGGUGGAGCGUGAGGCACGGAGACGGGUUCAGCCGGUACCCCCUGUCCCCCUGCUGUGGGGACCCUCACUCUCUCCUGGCACACCUGUGCUGCCGGGGCACAGCCCUGCACCCACCCUGAGCCCUCCUGGGUCUGACCCACUUUUGG
rnacentral:lncRNA from 1 species